UACGUAGGGUGCGAGCGUUGUCCGGAAUUAUUGGGCGUAAAGAGCUCGUAGGCGGCUUGUCACGUCGGGUGUGAAAGCCCGGGGCUUAACCCCGGGUCUGCAUUCGAUACGGGCAGGCUAGAGUGUGGUAGGGGAGAUCGGAAUUCCUGGUGUAGCGGUGGAAUGCGCAGAUAUCAGGAAGAACACCCGUGGCGAAGGCGGCUCUCUGGAACGCAACUGACGCUGAGACGCGAAAGCGUGGGGAGCAAACAGG
rnacentral:rRNA from 1 species